rnacentral:rRNA from 1 species
GAUGAACGCUGGCGACGUGCCUAAUACAUGCAAGUCGAGCGAACAGACGAGGAGCUUGCUCCUCUGACGUUAGCGGCGGACGGGUGAGUAACACGUGGAUAACCUACCUAUAAGACUGGGAUAACUUCGGGAAACCGGAGCUAAUACCGGAUAAUAUAUUGAACCGCAUGGUUCAAUAGUGAAAGACGGUUUUGCUGUCACUUAUAGAUGGAUCCGCGCCGCAUUAGCUAGUUGGUAAGGUAACGGCUUACCAAGGCAACGAUGCGUAGCCGACCUGAGAGGGUGAUCGGCCACACUGGAACUGAGACACGGUCCAGACUCCUACGGGAGGCAGCAGUAGGGAAUCUUCCGCAAUGGGCGGAAGCCUGACGGAGCAACGCCGCGUGAGUGAUGAAGGUCUUCGGAUCGUAAAACUCUUUUAUUAGGGAAGAACAAAUGUGUAAGUAACUAUGCACGUCUUGACGGUACCUAAUCAGAAAGCCACGGCUAACUACGUG